ensembl:lncRNA
GAGAAAUUCUCUGCACAACCACCCAUCUCUGUCCUCUGAGAAGCUUUUACAUUGUGCUGUCCUCUCAAGAACUCUUAGACACUCCUUCCUUGUUCUCUGCAUGUUUGGUUUCUCUUUGAUCAAUAACCUGAUAUAAAAGGAAGUCCCUACAUCAGCUCUUUCGGGACACUCCUUUUUAGGAUGUCUUUUUUAUGUGUGUCAUGAACCUUUUUGGCAUCUGGUGAAGCCUCUAGACCCUUCUCAAGAAUUCUGCUUUUUUUUUUUUUUUUAAGAAUGCUAUUUUUUAAACCAUAAAUAGAAUGAUAAAAGACAGUUAUAUUGAAUAUUUAAAUAAUAUUUUUUGUAUUUGUGACUUAGUAAUAUUUUUUAUGGCUGUGCUGGGUCUUCAUUGCUGCUCAGGCUUCUUUCUGGCUAUAGCAAGCGGGGGCUACUCUAGCUGCGGCGUGCAGGCUUCUCAUUGCGGUGGCUUCUCCUGUUGCAGAGCAUGGGCCCUGGGUGCAUGGGCUUCAGUAGUUGUAGCACGUGGGCUCAGUAGUUAUGGGUCCCAAACUCUAGAGCACAGGCUCAAUAACUGUGGCACAGGAGCUCAGUUGCUCUGAGGCCUGUGGGAUCUUCCCAGGUUAGGGAUCCAACUUGUGUCUCCUGCAUUGGCAGGUGGCCUGUUUACUACUGAAAGAAUCCAGGGCACCAGGGAAGCCCUGUGUGUUCUUUUUUAAACACAUCAGAUAAAAAGAUCGAGUGGCAGGUCCAAAACUACCAGGAUGUCACAGGUGUCAUAAGCAUGAACAGUAUCUUAGGAUCCCUGGGGCAGCUGUGAUAAGGAAGUAGCUGUGAUUUCUCUUGGUGAUAAAGUCCCAAGUUGCUGGUAAUUGGCCUCUGGAUUGUUGCCUACAUUUAAAAUGGAAGGAAAUGUUACAUUUCAGUUAGAGACUAGUGAAAAUAUAGGUGUAAUUUUUUUUCCUGUCCAAGUGCAUGGAACUUGGGUUCAUGCAUCACAGUUUCAGAACUGCUUGAGGGUGGCUGAAAAGCUGUGACAAACCUAGACAACGUAUUAAAAAGCAGAGACAUCACUUUGCUGACAAUGGUCCGUAUAGGCAAAGCUAUGGUUUUUCCAGUAGUCAUGUACAGGUGUGAGAACUGGACCAUAAAGAAAGCUGAGCGCUGAAGAAUUGAUGCUUUCGAACUGUAGUGCUGGUGAAGACUCUUGAGACUCCCUUAGACUGCAAGGAGAUCAAACCAGUCAAUCCUAAAGGGAAUCAACUCUGAAUAUUCAUUGGAAGGACUGAUGCUGAAGCUGAAGCUCCAGUACUUUGGCUGAUGGGAAGAGCUGACUCAUUAGAAAAGAUCCUGAUGCUGGGAAAGAUCGAAAGCAGGAGGAGAAGGGGAUGACAGAGGAUGAGAUGGUUGGAUAGCAUCACCGACUCAAUGGACAUGAAUCUGAGCAAACUCUGGGGGAUAGUGAAGGACAGGGAAGCCUGGCGUGCUCCAGUCCAUGGGGCUGCAAAGACUUGGAUACAACUAGCAACUGAGCAACAACAAUCAAUAUUGGCUGAGUUCUUGCUAGGUACUAGUUACCUGGUGAUAUGGGAGGCUAGGGUUUAGCAAUGAAAAAAACAGUUCCUGCUCACCUGGGGUUUACCACCCAGGGAGGGAAGACUAGGGGAUAUACAGUUCCGAGUGGUAGGUGCCAGGAAGGCAGUGCAGAAGAGAACAGCAAGGUCUGUUUCCCAGGAAGGCCUCUCUGAGGAGGUGUUCUUCGCUCUGGGAUCGAGCCAUGCUGAGAGGUAGAGGAAGGGUGUUCCCGGCAUAGGAGCUGCAAAGUGCACAGGCCGUAAGCGGGGAACAGCUGACAGCAUUCCAGGGCCUGCAGGAGGUCCUAGAGACUGGGACUGAGUGGCAGGUGGGGGCUUCCUGGAGUGUCGGAGAUGGAGUCCCAGAGGCUGGCUGGGCCCAUCAGGCAGGCUUUGUGGGCCAGAGUGAGGGGUUUGGGUUUUCUUCUCAGUUUGACAGGCAGCCUUUGGCAGGUUUAAGCAGGAGAGUGAUAUGGCUGUGAUGUGGUUUACAUUUUGGAAAGAUCCUUCUAGCUAUGUGUGGGGAACAGAACAGAGAGAGCCAGGCUGGCAGCAAGAUCCAGUGAGGAGGCCAGGCAGGGGUCCCAGUGAGAGACCAUGGCAACCUGGACCGGGGUGGGGCCUCGGGGUGGAGAGAAGUGGACAGAUCUGGGGUAUCAUUUGCAAAGUGGCUCA